UUGCCAGAUUUAACUAAGUUAAAUCUACGUACUGACAGAUGGCAAUGAUGGCCAUUGUAAGAAGUGCCUGAAUUAUUUAGAGGAGAGGAACAAACCAACUGUCAGUGAGGAGUUAGUGUCCAUAAGGAAGGAACAGCCAGGGAAGAGCAGGCAGACAAAAUGCUUGACAGCAGAGGAAGGAAAAAAUGGUACCCGGAUAAAUUUGAAGAAAGAGAUGAGAAAGUGAACAGCAUAAGAGAUAAGCACAGAUUUCCUCAGUGCUAUGAGGCUUAUCCCAACUGACAGAAGCCAUCUCUGCAUUUACAGAGACAAUUGC
rnacentral:lncRNA from 1 species